rnacentral:rRNA from 1 species
UACGAGGGGGGCAAGCGUUGUCCGGAAUUAUUGGGCGUAAAGAGCUCGUAGGCGGUGUGUCGCGUCGGCCGUGAAAACCUGCAGCUUAACUGUGGGCUUGCGGUCGAUACGGGCAUCACUGGAGUUCGGCAGGGGAGACUGGAAUUCCUGGUGUAGCGGUGAAAUGCGCAGAUAUCAGGAGGAACACCGGUGGCGAAGGCGGGUCUCUGGGCCGAUACUGACGCUGAGGAGCGAAAGCGUGGGGAGCGAACAGG